UGGGUCUCCUCUUCAGGUAUUAAUACUGUGGAUCACUGUGGGUCUAUUCUUCAGGUAUUAAUACUGUGGAUCACUGUGGGUCUAUUCUUCAGGUAUUAAUACUGUGGAUCACUGUGAGUCUAUUCUUCAGGUAUUAAUACUGUGGAUCACUGUGAGUCUAUUCUUCAGGUAUUAAUACUGUGGAUCACUGUGAGUCUAUUCUUCAGGUAUUAAUACUGUGGAUCACUGUGGGUCUCCUCUUCAGGUAUUAAUACUGUGGAUCACUGUGAAUCUAUUCUUCAGGUAUUAAUACUGUGGAUCACUGUGAGUCUAUUCUUCAGGUAUCUGGGCUCUAAUUGAAUCAGAA